UCCUUCGGGGCAAAAACUAAGUCUCCGAGUUUCCCGUUCGUCUUGGGAGUGGUGCUCCGGAGGAUGAGCGAGGCAGGAGUCGUAGAGAGAGAGAGAGAGAGACGAAGAGUAGCGAAUCGGAAUUGAAGAAGGAGCUGAUAAGGAGAGAGGGAGAAUGAGAGUGAGCGAGUGAGAGCCGAUGAAGGCAGCAUUCGGAUAGAAAUACGAAGUCAGGCAAUCGUUAGACGAUCGUGAUUAAUUUCGCUAAUUAAUUGUCGAAGAAAUGAGGAAAUGAAGAGCAUUUAUUACUCGGCCGCGAGUCACGGGCAAGGAGGGCUCCUCGGUGCCAGAGGGUGUCAGACCCUCCAGAAGCUUCAUUCAUCUCAGGAAAUCCCUGUGAAGUGGGCUCUUUAAAUUGAAACUCAAAUACGUGCCAACUGGAAGGGCGGGCGUGAAAAAGACCCAUUAAAUUGGUUAUUUUUCACACCCUCGUGGUACCUAACGUCGUAACGGCAUUCGGGGACGAUAUCGUACGAAAUUCCGAAACUCUCCGCUAGGAGUCGCCAGCGUGAUCGAUAGUCCGUCCGCAGACACUCUAAACCUUAGCUUACCGUAAUGGAGAGUACCGCUUCGAGUUAUUGACAGUUAACUUCGAGUCUCUUGUGAGUACCAUUGCCAUUGAGUGCUGGCAUUCUCAAGUAUACCCCGGUCAAGUUCCUUAUUUCACCGGUUUUACAGGAGGACAGCGUGGAAUACAAAUAAUCAUCCCGCACUGUGGCAAGAAUAAUAUUUUAAGGCUAGAAAUACACGUACAAUUUUUACCUCUUGUCUCGCCCAACAUAAAUAUACAUAACAAAGACAAUAUUUUGUUAAAAGUACCAGACGCCCCGAGCACUCUCUGGAUUACUUGUACGAUUCCAUUUAUUAUAGAAAAAUCAAAAUAAAACUGAACUAGUAGAAACUGCGAGUAAAACCGAGUCAGAUUUAACAUGCCAGUAUCCUCCGUUGUUUCGCUGACUCCAUAUUUUGUUAUGUAGAUCGUGUUACCGAAUAGCUAACGCCUAUAGUCGUAUACUGUAUUCGUUUACGAUGCUGUGAGUGUAAGAUAUUUCAAUUAGAUAUACCCAGGGAUCAACGUCUCGACUUGUGUAUUGUGUACAGAGCUGUGUUCAGUGAUUUUUCGACGACUCUAUACACAGCCAAAUGUGCGCGUGAUAGAUUCACUGAGGGUAGGCGGUCUGGUCGUGAUUAGCUAAGCUUAUGAUUAAUUAUUAUACCCACCGUUGACUCUCGUAUCCUCGUAAGCCCUUACCUACACAAGCAUCCCCUCCAUACACAUUUCAGUACAAUAUUAUCCUGUAAUAGUAAUUACGUAUACAUAGCAUGCAUUGUGACAGUGAAAGAUUUUCGUGUGAACACAUCCUUAGCUUAAUCGUUCUCAACUGCCUAUACUCGUAUCAAGUAUAGCUUUACCAUUGAAUCAUUUGUCCAAGUCACAAUUUACCAAUUUUCUUUGCCGCCGACUGAUUUCUUCCUACAAGAAUCGCGCGGUCCUCGUGACCGAGUAUCUUAUCAACCACAGUUGAAGAGUCUCGACGUUAUCGGCCCUAAGGACACUUGACGUUUUCAAAGGAGAUUCCUGCCGCACUUCACUCCUUGGGAUUACUGGCGGUACAAUCGGAUCACAGAUUCACAGGGAGACGUUCGAGAACGGAUUGUGAUAAAUCGUAGAUUUUACGAUGCUACCCAGGAUAUAGGCGAGUCAUAGAUGGAGCUUCGAGACAUGUAGAGAGGUAUGAGCGGACCUUGGUCGGGGCUGAGAAGACUCUAGCACGAGAUCCUACCUGGGUCUUGUAGGUCAUACUCGUACCGGAUCCUCUACAGGAGCCAGCGGCUCUGUAUCCUUUGCCCGUAAAUGUAGCUACGUAACCAGGUUUUGUGGAGUAUCGGUAUCCUCCCUGUAGAAUCUCCAGUAGACCUCGCAGAACUUCUCAUACGUUUCUGGCUUCACCUGGUCUAGGGUUCUACCGUAAGAGACAUAAGUCGUGUGGGGGCGCACAUGCCUGGCAUACACGUUGCUCUGCUACUUCUUCCAAUCUCUAUUCCGCAGGGCUACUUAAUAUUGCAGCGUAUUACUCCACGGUGCACGCUAGCUAUGCGACUGAAUUCAUAUACCGGGUGUGCUCCUUUUCCUGAUCCUCACGAGUUCAGACUGAUUCUACCCCGAGAAAUUUUCGGACGAACCCUGGUUUCUGAUCAAGUUCAUACGCACGCUUAAUGAUGAUUGGCGCAAACGUCCCAGUGCCACUUUGCUGACAUGAUGUAUCUUGCUGGUAACUGAGGAACAUGCAGCAUCCAUUUGCUGAAAAUUUCAUCUCGCUGUAUUACGUCUGCUGUAAUGGAUGGUCGCUGUUUGCCAGGAUGAAAAAAACUUAGCGUACCUUCAUAGAAAUCAGAUUGCGUCCAGUGACUUAUUUUAUUUGUAUCCGAGACACAUGGGCCUGGAAAAUCGGGGUAUGGCGCCCAAGAGAAACUGACCCCUCGAACCUUAGACGUGCUUAUUGAAUAUUAAACGGAUCUUCGGUUCCCGUGGGGGUCCGUAUAAAUUAUACAGGCGUUGUACUUUGCCUGCCCGGAGUGCAGUUCGGCUCCUUUCGUGGUUCGGUAAUUGAAUUUUCAAACGGUAUAAGCGCUUUAAGACUUUAUGUGCACUUUGCGUGAUUGUACGUAGAUAUUUAUGCUUGCGGUUUUUCAUAUCGUGGUUUGUAAUUUGAUAAAAUUACAAAAUUCAGUAAUCGUACGUCCGGGCCUGUAUUCAAUGGGAUAUCCAAAUUAUUUGGAUGUAUAGUGACUCUUUAUAUUUUAAAAAUUUUUAUAUUCUACUCCCACUGUGGUUUCUAGAGUAAUGCCCAUAUACGGGCGCAUCGUUAACACUCGUUUCUACAUCCUCGUUUCUAUGUCUGCGGUAAUAGCGAAACCGCGAAACUUUGUAAUUGAAACUAUCCCGAUAUGCUUCUGACCGCUAAAUCGUAGGAUUUCGUAUGGCCAUAAUAUACAGCCAGGAGUUUGUAACUGAUACAAGAGCUUUGUCUGUCAAAACUAAGGAAGAACAAAUAUCAUCAUUAAAUCUCUUUUGACAGAGACUUAUGCUAGUUGGGAUACGUUAGAACAAACCAUUCUCCAGCAGCGACUAGAGUUAAAAAUUACAAGACAAACCAAAUAACGAAAAAAAAAAUUUUUAAUCUUAUUACCAUAAGCAUUUCUAUAAGCAUCCGGCUAAAUAGUAAUAUAUUUAUACAAUGUGCUAGAUUAAUAUACAGUGGAUGUAUCGAUUUGAUUUUCGAUCUGAAGGGUUACAUGAUAUAUGGUACUCUUUUUUUUGGUUAACCACGUAAACCAUGUAAAGUCGAUUCUACCAUGCACGACCACACGUGGCAGAGCCUCAGUGUAUGCCUUCUGCCACAUCGUGGAUGCUGAUCUCUUGUUGCCGAAAGUGCAGAUCUUUUUGGGUUUAGACUGAGGUAGGGAUUAUAGAAUUACUUAGGUAGGGACAGCCAAUGUAAAUACUGAAUGAAGUAGGUACCAGGAACGUUAUAUAUAUAGUCACUGCGGCUUGUCUGGUAUUAUAUAUGUAUCGUCUCGAAGAUCCUAGAGACAGAUCCUGAGGAAUGCUGAGCUUUCUAAAGCACAGUCGUAGCACAGAUCGGUAAGAGGCAAAUAAACAACGCAUUGUCAUAUAAAUUAUUACACUAGAACGCGUUACUUUUAUGAGCAACGCACGACGCUCGACAUAAGCAGUUUAUGAGAGCACAGUAAACCCUACGUGACGAUAUUGUCGAGUGACAUAACGUUCACGAAGAGUUAACCUAGACCAGUUUUUAUCGGGAUAUCCAUAUCCUGAUCAUAUUGUACAUACGCGUCCUUGGACGAAAAAAGGAAAUAUUUCAAAUUGAACUUAUUCAUAGGAAUAUAAUUUUUUUCUUCACUGAUGUAAUUCCUCGAGAAAACAAGACUGCGAGUAAAAACUUUAUUUUCAGGUUAGUAUAUAUAUAUAUAAGAUUAAAAAGA